rnacentral:rRNA from 1 species
UACGAAGGGGGCUAGCGUUGCUCGGAAUCACUGGGCGUAAAGCGCACGUAGGCGGCUUACUAAGUCAGGGGUGAAAUCCUGGAGCUCAACUCCAGAACUGCCUUUGAUACUGGUGAGCUUGAGUCCGGAAGAGGUGAGUGGAACUGCGAGUGUAGAGGUGAAAUUCGUAGAUAUUCGCAAGAGCACCAGUGGCGAAGGCGGCUCACUGGUCCGGUACUGACGCUGAGGUGCGAAAGCGUGGGGAGCAAACAGG